rnacentral:lncRNA from 1 species
UAGGCAAAUAGGAAUGACAGUCAGCCAGCUGUUGAAAGUAUUGCAACUUAAUGAAAGAACGAUCUAUAGAAUAUACAAACAACAUACAGAGACAGGAACAUUAUCCCCUAUGAAGUCUACUGGUCAUUCUCGAUUAACAUUUCAGAAAAAGGAAGAAGUAUUAAUAAGUAUGAGUGAGGAAGAACCUUUCAAACGAGUGACAGUGCUUAGAGAAGAGUUGGGAUUAGCUGUAAGCAUUGAUACUGUCAAAAGACGAUAAGUAACCAGUUGAAAAACUACCACAAAAUAUCAUAGAAAAGUUACAAUGUCGUUUUUAGCGAGUGUAGUUAAACAGGAAAUCAGAUUUUAAAAUUUAACCUUUUCAUUAGUUGCGCCACCGGAGAAUGCUCUUUUAAGUCGGCCAGUGAAUUUCGGUACAAAAAGGAAAUUUGAAAAAAAUAAAAAACGCGGUAAUGGUGAAAAAAUGUCACGAACAGAAUCAUAGUAAAGUUGGCCAGCGAGACGGCUUCCCUAAUACCCCCGCCAUUUCAGGCGUUCAUUCUGAACAUCGAAAGGGGUGCUAGGUGUGCGCCGUUGGCAGAAUU